rnacentral:rRNA from 1 species
UAGAGGAAGUAAAAGUCGUAACAAGGUUUCCGUAGGUGAACCUGCGGAAGGAUCAUUAAUGAAUAUAAUUCAGAGGGGCUGUAGCUGGCCUUGGAAACGAGGCAUGUGCACGCUCUUCUGUCUUUCAUAACUCACCUGUGCACCUAAUGUAGGAUGCUCCUCCUUCGGGAGGGGGGACCUAUGUCUUCAUACGCCUCUUCGUGUAGAAAGUCUUAGAAUGUUUACUAUCAGAGAGUCGCGACUUCUAGGAGACGCGAAUCUCUGAGAUAAAAGUUAAUUACAACUUUCAGCAAUGGAUCUCUUGGCUCUCGCAUCGAUGAAGAACGCAGCGAAAAGCGAUAUGUAAUGUGAAUUGCAGAUCUACAGUGAAUCAUCGAAUCUUUGAACGCACCUUGCGCUCCUCGGUGUUCCGAGGAGCAUGCCUGUUUGAGUGUCAGUAAAUUCUCAACCCCUCUCGAUUUUUUUCGAGGGGGAGCUUGGAUGGUGGGGGCUGCCGGAGACUAGGACUCGUCCUUGACUCGGGCUCUCCUUAAAUGCAUUGGCUUGCGGUCGACUUUCGACUUUGCGCGACAAGGCUUUCGGCGUGAUAAUGAUCGCCGUUCGCUGAAGCGCAUGAACGAAGGUUCCGUGCCUCUAAUACCGUCGACGC